rnacentral:misc_RNA from 1 species
CGGACAGCAUCUGAGAUGGCAA